rnacentral:rRNA from 1 species
CACGGAGGAUGCAAGCGCUAUCCGGAUUUAUUGGGUUUAAAGGGUGCGCAGGUUGUUUGAUAAGUCAGUGGUGAAAGUCUGUCGCUUAACGGUAGGAUUGCCAUUGAUACUGUUGGACUUGAAUAUGGAUGAGGUAGGCGGAAUGUGUAGUGUAGCGGUGAAAUGCAUAGAUAUUACACAGAACACCGAUUGCGAAGGCAGCUUACUAAUCCAUCAUUGACGCUGAGGCACGAAAGCGUGGGGAUCAAA